UUGGGGUCGAGUGGCGUACGUUGAUGGGGCCUUUAAGAGUUUAAAGCAACUUGAUCUUUGAAUAUCAGUGGUGAGGAGCAGGGCCCUCCUGCAUUGACAAUUGUGAGUUUGGCUUUCAUUAUUCGAAAAUCUGACUCGGUCUCUAUCGAUUCGACACUCAUUUGACAUUUUUGGUGUUUUAGUUUUUACCAUCAUUAAAUCAAUAUCCAUGGAUUAUGACAACAUGACACUUCUAAUUAUAAUUGUAAUGACCAAAUAAGAAAAAUCAUCUUCUUAGAAAAAGGUCCAAAUUAACUAUAGACACACUCUAAUGUUUAUUGGGAAACCAAUACGACAAGUAGGUUAUGCCUAUGAAUUUAUCUAUACCUGAUGCGAUUAUAAGUAGUAAUUUUUUUUUUUUUUGGGUUAAUAUACAUAUUUGACUGGAGUACGUAACAUAACGAUUUGUACUAGCUAGUGAAUAUGCUUGUUCAAAUUUGAUGAUGUGAUUAUGUAGAAGACAAUAUUUUGUUUAAUAAUACAUGAAAGGCCAUUAAAGAUUUUGGAGGUAAUUGACUGGUCUUACGGCGUAGCAAGCCAUCUAAUUAGUGUGCUCUAAAUUGCAUUUAGUUUAUUCGCGUCAGUAACCUUAUGAGAUCCCCAAAAGCUAUCCUAACAAAAAAUUUAGCUCAAAUGAUUCAUUUAUAGAUGAGGCAAAAACUGAAUCAAGUACUAGAAGAAGAGAACACAAAACUAGGGUGAUAUACUGAUAUGUGAUGGAUUAGUUUAUACUCUAAUGGUCAUUCGUAAAAUGUAUUGAUGGUGUGGGUGUGGGCUCAAUUUGACCUCUAUUGGAAAUGGUCAUAUAUCGAUGGCCAAUCAUCUUUUAAUCAAUUGAGCCCAUGCUCUGAUGCUCCUCCUCACCUUAAGAAAAAGCUUGAAAACUUUAAGAAAAAUAUUUCUUAAAAUUAAGAAUAGAUUAAGGAAACAAAUGAUAUUUUCUUUUUUCAGGUUUACGAUGAUAUUGUUCUGAAAACAGUGACGAGAAUGCAACCAUGGGAGCAUGUAAUCUUCAAAGGAGUUUUUUUUGUUUGUUUUCCUCUGGUUUGGCUAACUAAUAUAAAAGUGCAUGUUG
rnacentral:lncRNA from 1 species